CCUACGGGUGGCAGCAGUGGGGAAUAUUGGACAAUGGGCGAAAGCCUGAUCCAGCCAUGCCGCGUGUGUGAAGAAGGCCUUCGGGUUGUAAAGCACUUUCAGUGGGGAAGAAAGCCUUGGGUCUAAUACCCUCGAGGAAGGACAUCACCCACAGAAGAAGCACCGGCUAACUCCGUGCCAGCAGCCGCGGUAAUACGGAGGGUGCGAGCGUUAAUCGGAAUUACUGGGCGUAAAGCGCGCGUAGGCGGUCUGAUAAGCCGGUUGUGAAAGCCCCGGGCUCAACCUGGGAACGGCAUCCGGAACUGUCAGGCUAGAGUGCAGGAGAGGAAGGUAGAAUUCCCGGUGUAGCGGUGAAAUGCGUAGAGAUCGGGAGGAAUACCAGUGGCGAAGGCGGCCUUCUGGACUGACACUGACGCUGAGGUGCGAAAGCGUGGGUAGCAAACAGGAUUAGAUACCCGGGUAGUC
rnacentral:rRNA from 1 species